UAACGUGGACCCGUUACCCGGGUUGCGGACAGUGUCUGGUGGGUAGUUUGACUGGGGCGGUCUCCUCCUAAAGAGUAACGGAGGAGCACGAAGGUUGGCUAAUCCUGGUCGGACAUCAGGAGGUUAGUGCAAUGGCAUAAGCCAGCUUGACUGCGAGCGUGACGGCGCGAGCAGGUGCGAAAGCAGGUCAUAGUGAUCCGGUGGUUCUGAAUGGAAGGGCCAUCGCUCAACGGAUAAAAGGUACUCCGGGGAUAACAGGCUGAUACCGCCCAAGAGUUCAUAUCGACGGCGGUGUUUGGCACCUCGAUGUCGGCUCAUCACAUCCUGGGGCUGAAGUAGGUCCCAAGGGUAUGGCUGUUCGCCAUUUAAAGUGGUACGCGAGCUGGGUUUAGAACGUCGUGAGACAGUUCGGUCCCUAUCUGCCGUGGGCGCUGGAGAACUGAGGGGGGCUGCUCCUAGUACGAGAGGACCGGAGUGGACGCAUCACUGGUGUUCGGGUUGUCAUGCCAAUGGCACUGCCCGGUAGCUAAAUGCGGAAGAGAUAAGUGCUGAAAGCAUCUAAGCACGAAACUUGCCCCGA
rnacentral:rRNA from 1 species